UUGUUCCUCGUCCUCCCUGACGCUCCCGGUGUUGGCACAGACCCCUCAGAGCCCCCUGGCAGUGCCAGCCCGGGGGGAUUUGCCCCCUCCACCAUCAACAAUCAGCCAGAAACGAUAAAUUUGAGAUAAACCCAAACCCCAAACCCUUUAGAGAUAAAACUGAACCCCAAACCCUGAACCCCAAACCCUUUAGAGAUAAACCCAAACCCCAAAUCCAUUAGAGAUAAAACUAAACCCCAAACCCUUUAGAGAUAAAUCUGAACCCCAAAACCCUUUAGAGAUAAANNNNNNNNNNACCCCAAACCCUUUAGAGAUAAACCUGAACCCCAAACCCUUUAGAGAUAAACCUGAACCCCAAAUCCUUUAGAGAUAAACCCAAACCCUUUAGAGAUAAACCCGAACCCCAAAAUCUGGGGGAGCCCAACUCUUCCUGCACCCUGCUCCGUGCUGGAUCCCGGGGUGGCUCUGGGAAGCCACCAGGGUUAAAAAUCACAAAUUGUCCCCUCCUGCCACCGCCCUGGCCCUGUUUGGGGUGGGCGGUGAACGAGGAGGAAGCAGAAGUGUCCGACCUGCUGGGAUUUAUUGCCCGUGGGGCAGGAGGAACUCAAGGCAGAGGAGAUUCCAGGGGAGAGUUCCACCACUUCCCUUGAUUUGAGGGAUGGCAGGGGAACAUUCCAGACUUUUCCUUGGUUCUAGGGCUGUCAAACAACAAAAAAUAUUGUUUAUUUUGGGUUUAGGAUUGCCAGGGGAAAAUUCCAGAGUUUUUCAUGGCUCUAGGGUUGUCAGAUAACAAAAAUAACAUUUUUUGUUGGGUUUAGGAUUGCCAGGGGAAAAUUCCAGAGUUUUUCAUGGUUCUAGGGUUGUCAGAUAACAAAAAUAACAUUUUUUUGUUGGGUUUAGGAUUGCCAGGGGAACAUUCCAGAAUUUUUCUUGGUUCUAAGGGUUGUCAAACAACAAAAAAAAAAAACCCUUUUUUUUGUUUGGUUUACGAUUGCCAGAGGAAAAUUCCAGUUUUUCGUGGUUCUAGGGUUGUCAAGCAAGCAUUCCAUUAUUUUUUUUGGGUUUAGGAUUGCCAGGGGAAAACUCCAGAGCUUUUCUUGGUUCUAGGGUUGUCAAAUAACAAAAUAAAAAAACAUUGUUUUUGUUGGGUUUAGGAUUA
rnacentral:lncRNA from 1 species